rnacentral:rRNA from 1 species
ACUAAGUGAGCUACUUUAAAAUAGCCCAAGAGCCAACCCGUCUCUGUUGCAAAAGAGUGGGAAAAUUUUUAAGUAGGGGUGAUAUACCUAUCGAACUUAGAGAUAGCUGGUUUUUUAAGAAAAGGAUUUCAGUUCUAUUUUAAACUUUUAUGUUAAUCAAAAAUAUACUUGAGUUUAAAAGUUAUUCAAAUAAGGCACAGCUUAUUUGAGACAGGGUACAACCUAAAGCCCAGGGUACGACAAACAAAUUUUGAUAAGUGGGCCUAAAAGCAGCCAUCUUUCAGAAAGCGUCAAAGCUUAGUGACACUAUUUAUUUAAUAACCACACUUACUUCUAACCCUCACCCGCUAUUAAAAAACCCCAUAAAACUAUGGGAGCUAUUAUGCUAGAACAAGUAACAAGAAAUAGAUUUUCUCCAAAAUGUAAGCUUAAGCCAUAAUAGACACCCUAAUGGCAAUUAACACUUAUAAAUUUAUUGUAAUAACCUCAACAAGAAAACUUUACAUUUUAUA